CUCAGUUUUUCCUGCAGCAGCUUCUGUGUUGUGGUAUUUAUACUUGUUUUGAUAGCGGUACCUGUGCUGUGCUUUUAAGUACGAUCUCUGCUACAUGAGUAGUAAUUAUUCUGUGGUUAUGAUACAUGCUCAUAUGUGGUUAGUGUUUGCUUCUCUGAUGGACGAUCCAUUCAUAAUGGCGACUCUCCCUGGGUAUUCAAAGACACACUAGAUCUGCCUCGAUCUAUUUCCAUUAAGCAAAAUACGGUUGUGAGAAGUCGGAGCUCUGAAGCCCUGGAGUCGGAGCUCUGAAGCCCUGGAGUCGGAGCUCUGAAGCCCUGGAGUCGGAGCUCUGAAGCCCUGGAGUCGGAGCUCUGAAGCCUGGAGUCGGAGCUCUGAAGCCCUGGAGUCGGAGCUCUGAAGCCCUGGAGUCGGAGCUCUGAAGCCCUGGAGUCGGAGCUCUGAAGCCCUGGAGUCGGAGCUCUGAAGCCCUGGAGUCGGAGCUCUGAAGCCCUGGAGUCGGAGCUCUGAAGCCCUGGAGUCGGAGCUCUGAAGCCCUGGAGUCAGAGCUCUGAAACUUAAAGAACUUAACGCACUUUACAAAAAUGAAUUCCUUAAUCUCAAGUAAUUUCACUACUCUUCAACCGAGCACGAUAGUGAAAGCAGUCCCUGGCACCUUCUGUUCCUCUGGGCCCAUUACCAACUCUACUCUGCCCUGUACUUGUGUUAACUGUUUCCUUGGUUAUAAAGACUUUUCAGUCCAUUACUCGGGACAGUAUGAAGGUUUGGAAUAUACUGUCAAGAUCGCUGCUUUUUGAGAAAACUGGCCUUUUGCCCUCAUUGUGGCAACGAGUGUACACUUGACCUACAAAGGAAGGUGUUUAGGUAACAUUUAAGAAUAGACUAACUGCUUACUGGGGUGUUAAGACAAGGAAGAUAAGAUAUUCAAGCACAUCUUGUUCAUUGCUUGGAUUUGGCCCCACAGUAGCAUGAGGUGAGAACAUAAGCUAAAAAACUGCUUACUGGAGCCCUUAAGAUAAGGCAAACUACUUUAGUUACUAGAACUGUUCGUUGCUGCAUGAUAACUAAGCCUGAUGUUACUGGUUCACUUCUCCCUACCACAAUUUGUCCUACAUGUAUGGUUCGACGGUGUAAUUGGUUUUAAACUCCAAUAAACCGUAAUGUUGCACAGUCUGAAUUUUCGUGCCUUCACCAAUAUCAGUAACUGCAACUGGUAAGUUUUGUUACCAUAAAUUUCUAAUUAAUUUUUAACAAGGUUUUGUUAAAAUCCCUGGUAUUUUAAAUUCAGAGACUAAUAUAACGUGUUCCACUUUAACCUAACCUGUGAAACUUGUAA